CUGAUAUCUUCUACAUCUUCUCACUUUUAUAUCCUUCCUGCUUUCUUUAUCCUCCCACUUUUCCAUCCUAUUGAAUUGAGCAUUCAAUAAUACAUCUGCACAUUAUUGAAGUUCCAUACUUGAGCCAUUUAUGAUAGUGUGCUUAACCUUUUAUGUGCAUCAGGGUGGGCUUUGAAUAAUUUCUAUAUAUCUACUCUUUUUCUAUCAAAUUACUUUUUUUAUUAUUAAGUCUUUAAUUAUACCACAUAGUUCAUUGCUUUUGUUUGUCUCUUUUCAUUAUGAUUUAUUGCUUAAUUGUUUUCUUCUUUUUAACAGUGGUUGUUGGCCUCCUACAAUACACAAAUACUUCUUAUGGUGUUUCUUGCAAUUGUUUCACUGCUACAGGCGGGUUUCUUUAGCUAUCAUGCGAAGCUUUGUCUCACAAAUACCACCACAAAUGGGACUUUCAAGUGGCAAGAGUACAUAAGUUGGCAGGGGAAGAUAAAUGAAGCAAAGGCGAGUGCUGCAGCCCUCAAAGCGAGUAUCAAUGGGAUGAGUACCGAAGGAAAGCCUUCAGAAAGCAAAUGGAGAGACUUCUUUCGAAAAUCCCCUAUUGGAAGAUGUGCAGGUUGUUAAAAAUAACAUUUAUGAUAAAGGAUUUUUUCACAAUCUUCAUGAGAUCAUCUUUCCCCCCUCAAUGAGAUCCUCAUUUCUGCAAUCUAAAUCAAAGUCGGGCUGAAUUGCCUUUACUCUUUUGCUUGGCUGGGUUUUCUUAAGAUGCUUUGGUGGCUUGGUUAGCCUGUUCCUGAAAUUGCUGAUUUGUAGAUGGCUGGCUAAAGAGCUCAGAGGGACGAUUGUAAAUGAGAAGCUUUUUUCUGCAUUACUUAUCAUUGGAACUAUAAUCUAUGGCUAUGGUCCAUUGCAUGCUAAAAAAAUUGAUAGUAGUGAAAUACAGAAAAUCUCAUCAUAAAUUUAAUUAUUGAGAUUCACUGUUAUGUGAUAGGAAGAAGUAUCAUGUCGCUGCACUGUGUAAGUUUUGAUCUACUUACGGAAAACUCUCUAGAAAAGAAAGAUUUUUUUCGUUUUAA